GGACUACCGGGGUUUCUAAUCCCGUUUGCUCCCCUAGCUUUCGCACCUCAGCGUCAGUUGUGGACCAGAGAGCCGCCUUCGCCACCGGUGUUCCUCCUGAUAUCUACGCAUUUCACCGCUCCACCAGGAGUUCCGCUCUCCCCUACCACACUCGAGCAUCGCAGUAUGCCUGGCAGUUCCACGGGUGAGCCGUGGGAUUUCACCAGACACUUACGACACCGCCUACGUGCGCUUUAAGCCCAGUAAUUCCGAACAACGUUUGCACUCUCUGUAUUACCGCGGCUGCUGGCAC
rnacentral:rRNA from 1 species